AAAGUGAAUAGUGAAAUCCGGGGCCCAACCUCACAGGCUAUUAUUCGAACUCACUGACUCGAGAACAGCAGAGGUAACUGGAAUUUCUGAAGUAGGGGUAAUAUCCGUAGAUAUCAGAAGGAACACCAAUGGCGUAGGCAGGUUACUGGGCUGUUUCUGACACUGAGGCACGAAAGCGUGGGGAGCGAACCGGAUUAGAUACCCGGGUAGUCCACGCCGUAAACGAUGGAUACUA
rnacentral:rRNA from 1 species